CAACCAAUCCCACAUUCGGCAUUCCGCCUCCGCUUUUCGUCACCCUACUUAAAUUUCUGAUUUUUUUUUCUUCCGUCGCACAUGUGAGGACUAAAGCUGCGAGAGCUUCACAUCCUUCUCUCAUAUCAUAACAUCACACUGAUGUGCUCUGCUCAUGUCAGGCAGUCUGGUAUGCCAUACAGCAUCAUGAAUGAAUCUGAAAUGAUGGAAUCCAUAAAAAGGACAAGCAGUAUGGACAGGCCUGUGAACCUCCAAAAACCACAUCUUCACCAAGUAGGCCGGCAAAGACCUAAUCUCACCCCACCGUUACAGAAGUCCAUGACAUCGGCUGCAUAGUUGAGUGGACACAAGUCUAUCUUAGGAGGUGGCCAUGUGACAGAGGAGCUUAAUGGACCUUUAUUGACCGAAGACUUGGAGACACCCAACAAAGAAAAGGAUUUGGAAAACAUUGUCAGAGAUAUUACAACUCACAUAGAAAGAAAGAUAUCAGAAAAAUCAUGUUUGUCAGACUGACCAACUGCAAAAAGGGCGGAGUGGUGGCUCUGAGGCUAAGGAGCUGCGUUGGUAUCCCAAAGGUUGCCGGUUCGAAUCCCCGUCACUGCCAAAAGAGAGAGCAAGGCCCUUGACCAGCAGUUUUUCCAGGGGUGCUGUACAAUGGCUGACCCUGUGCUCUGACCCCAAGGGGUAUGUGAAAACUAACAAAUUCCUAAUACAAGAAAUUAUGUAAGGCGAAAUAAAGCAUCCCAAAGCCUAGGAGGAAAAUGAUGGUGCAACAUGCUACACUUUAAAAGAACAACUUAAUGGAUUAAGAAGAUAAAGACUGGGACUGCUAAAAUAUCAAGCAAACUCUCUAACACAAAGCUUGCUGUUUGGGAUUUUGUAAGUCACAAUCUAUAAAUGGACUUUGAAGAGAAUCCUUCAGGUUGCAUGUGCUCUUCUAUUUUCCCCUCAUUUUUGAUAUAUCUAUGUUUGUCUGUGAAGAAAGAUAAGAUUAUAUUGAAAUAAAGUUUGUUGUUAUCUCACUGAAACUGCCUUGUUGUUUACUGACACUAGCAAUCACCAGAUUGUCAAAGGUUCUAUAGGAUAAGGGACUGAAAUACUCAUCCAGGAUCUCUAGUAUUGUAAUCCAUGUUAUAAGUGUUAAAAGGUUCAGUAAUAUAACAAGAUGCACUUUUUUCAUGUUAAAUCCAUUGAGACUCAGCAAACUGGUAGCAGGUGGCUCCUGGGUUUUGUUAGGGUAUUUAGCCUUUUUGAGAGUAGCCAGUUACUAUUAGAUAAUCUGUUUUAAAAACCUUUUAGGAUAGCCAGUUCCCGGUAGGAGAGAUUUAGGCCUUGCAGGAAACUGAAAGCAAGAGUUGAUCUCAGCAAUUAAUGUAUUCAGAGGUUCAGCAAUUGUAGGAGUGGAAAACUGGGAAAAAAACAUUUAUCCCAGUAGCAUGAAGCCUGCCUGUGUUAAGGAUUGCUGAGGUAAGUUAGAUAGAUGAUUAUUUUAGGACAUGGGGCUUUGUCUGUUCAGGCUCCAGUUAAUUGUUCCUUACAGGGGGUUAUUCAGCAAAUGUCGAAAGACAGAGUUGCAAUUCCGGCUUGACAAGUGAGAAACCAUACUGUCGAGCAAGAGAACAGUUGGGCUGGUGAGUGACAUAUUUAGCAAACAAAGCAGACAUAUCGUAGAAGUUCACUAAUUUUCCUAACGUCUCUUCCGCAUACUCAGGAACUCAUUUAAGUCAAGUUUGUUUCAUGUGUGUACCCUGCACAAUCAGUGUAGAUAAGUUUCAUUAAAAUACAUACCCCAAUUGUUUGGAAUAAUUUUGACUGUAAUUUUAAACAACUGUAUUGGUUGCACGACAUGGUUAUUUGUAUUGUAAUCUAACUAAAUUUCACUAUUGCACUAAAUAUCUGCUGAAGUAGCUGUUCUGUUUUAUCCUACUGUAAUCCUUCUUAUGUGCAGCGUUUCUUUAUUUACUACACUGAGUAGGCCACAAGGCCAUACAGGACGACAGUCAAUCUCAGGGGUGAGCACACCACACACACACAUGUCAGGGGACAAUUUAGCAUCACCAGUCCACUGAACAUGCAUGUCCUUGGAGUGUAGGAAAAAACCUCAGCACCCGGAGGAAACAUACAGACUCCACACAGGAAGGACACAGGUGUUGAUCCCCAGUAUCUUUUAACUGUGGGACUAUACUCCUUAUUAAAAAAAAAAAAAAAAAAAAGCUUAUUACAUGAACAAAGAAGCAGGAGAAAACUCGCACCCACCUUAGAAACACAGAAACGAAAGGCAAACACAGCAAAAGGGGGGUGGAGUUUAUCCUGUUAUUUAUUAACAUACAGCUUUCACUUUCUUUCUUCUCUGUACAGAUCCCUUCAUGGUGGCACGCACUCUGCCAGAACACCUUAUUGCUGUCCACUGCUGCUAUUCUGAAGUCCUGAACACCACACAACAUCAUGACUAAAUCAAAAGUGAUUGGGUCCAUCUACAGGACAACCAGCAUGGACAGAAUUCAUAGAUUACGGAAACCGUGCCUUCACCAAGUAACCUGGUUGAAAGAUCAGUUCACCACAAUGUUACAGAAGUCCACGAUAUCCAGUCCACUGCAAUGGACCAUUCAACUUUGCACUGUGGAAUAUUUAUCAUUUUAAUAAACAAAAAGUUAUGUGAUCAUAAUCCUUGACACUGUAAAAAUAAAAAUAAAAUAAAAAGUUAUAUUAAGUAACAAACAUAAUCCAUA